rnacentral:tRNA from 1 species
UACAUCUUGGUGUAUAAAGCACUUUAAGUUUUGAUCUUAAAAGGAUUGGUGUGAUUCCAUUAGAUGUAU